GUCACAAUAUUUUAAAAAGCAUGCCAGGUCGUGACCCUGGAGGUAGAAGAAACCCCCACCCCUUCUUUCUGACA
rnacentral:tRNA from 1 species